CCUACGGGUGGCAGCAGUGAGGAAUAUUGGUCAAUGGGCGCGAGCCUGAACCAGCCAAGUCGCGUGAGGGAAGACGGUCCUAUGGAUUGUACACCUCUUUUGUCGGGGAGCAAAAGACGCCACGCGUGGCGUUCCGCGAGUACCCGAAGAAAAAGCAUCGGCUAACUCCGUGCCAGCAGCCGCGGUAAUACGGAGGAUGCGAGCGUUAUCCGGAUUUAUUGGGUUAAAAGGGGGCGCAGGCGGAAGAUCAAGGCAGCGGUAAAAGUGAGGGGCUCAACCUGUUCGAGCCUUUGAAACUGGUUUUCUUGAGUGGGCGAGAAGUAUGCGGAAUGCGUGGUGUAGCGGUGAAAUGCAUAGAUAUCAGGCAGAACUCCGAUGGCGAAGGCAGCAUACCGGCGCUUAACUGACGCUCAUGCACGAAAGUGUGGGUAUCGAACAGGAUUAGAUACCCGGGUAGUC
rnacentral:rRNA from 1 species